GAGGUGUCCCGGGAGGCGACUCAGCUGAGUGGGGGAACCCCGCCCAUCCACCAGGGAUUUAAGCGGCUGCCGGGAGCGCCCCCACCCCUGCCUGCGGGAACAGGAGCGGGCAAACAGGGACUGGCACGGCAGUGACCGAGGCAGUUCGCCCAGGCUGGGCAAGCAGGAGGGGCACAGCCACCUCCCAGCUCUCUCAGUUUUUGUCAAUCUGAACCAUCCAGUGGUAGAAGACAUGCAGAAAGACUACUCAGCGAGUUGCAUUUUGAACAAGGAGCCCCAUAAGGAUGUGGUAACAGUCAAGCCUGCUCUGUCAGGGCAAAAAUCUUUUCACAGAACCUUCCCAGACUGAAGGAAGUGAAGCUGUUUCAC